ensembl:misc_RNA Y_RNA Y RNA
GGCUGGUCCAGAGGCAGUGAGUUAUCUCAAUUGAUUGUUCAUAGUCAGUUAUAGAUUGAUCUCCUUGUUCUACUUUAUCCCCCUUUCUCACUGCUCUACUUGACUAGUCUAAA